rnacentral:rRNA from 1 species
AUACGGAGGGUGCAAGCGUUAAUCGGAAUCACUGGGCGUAAAGCGCACGUAGGCUGUUUGGUAAGUCAGGGGUGAAAGCCCACGGCUCAACCGUGGAAUUGCACUUGAUACUGCAUUGCUUGAGUUCGGGAGAGGGUAGUGGAAUUCCAGGUGUAGGAGUGAAAUCCGUAGAGAUCUGGAGGAACACCAGUGGCGAAGGCGACUACCUGGACCGAUACUGACACUGAGGAGCGAAAGCGUGGGGAGC